AGGUGGACGGGCACUGUUGGGUUGAAAUUGUAUAUAUAUUAUCACUCACGUGUAUUCUGAAAAAUGCAUAACUUGUUUCAUGAAACAACUGUGUAAGUGUUUACCAGUAAUUUUCCAUCACGUGCAGCAGAUGAGCCCACCUCUGCUGGACGCUCUGUUGUUCCUGUUCCCACUCCCACUUUCCCAUUGCAUCCUAUCCCAUUCCAAAUGUUGUUCACACCCACAAUGUAACCUGAUCAGUAUGUUUACCUUAUAGUAUAAAUAAACUCUGUCAGGGGCCACACCUUGAAAGCCAUCACUGUAACUCACUGUAGAAGGUGUGGCUCCCCUUGUACAAGUAAAACAGCGCGUGUCUCAUACUCUGUGGGCCAGCAGCCGGGGGGGGCUGAUCACUCUCUCCGACAUAAAAACUUGAUCCUUCGAGCCGGAUCACAAACCAGUGAUCCGUGCGGAUCGGGGAAUCCUGAGGACAUCACCAGGGCGCCGAGAGGAGCGACACCGAAGUCUGUCGACAGCCGCUCGUCUAAGACGGGUCGAGAAAGUCCUGGAACGUGAGAAUUCGUGACCAGGCCGGUGGUUAGGACUGCGCUCGACGCCUGGUGAUGCCUGACGGACCCCGACCGUCGUGACUGACCCCAGAGCUGUAAUAAAACAGACAAGUUCUUCAGAUGAAUCCCAGAGAGGAGCUGAUUUCUACCAGCAGGACACCAGUAAAGCUGUUUGAGCAGGACCCAAGUUCUGAACUACAGGCCCCAGGAUACAAAUGAGAUCUGAUCCUCAAGUCAGUCUUUAAGUCAAAUUUGUAGUGUGAUUCUCUGUGGUGAACAGAGUCCAGCUGCCCCUGAAACCCGGAAUCAGAUAAACUGAGGAAAAUGGAUGGAUGGAUGGAUAGAUGGAUGGACGGAAGGAUGGAUGGAUGUCUACUGUCCACCAAUAAGGACAUAGCAGGAUUCCAGCACAGUGAUAAGAAUGGACAGAGUGCACACACUUACAAUGUAUGAUCAAUGUAUGAUUACAGAGCUGCCACCUAUGCUGUAUAUUACAGGAUCACUCCAUAUUCGAAAAUAAAAUGCUCUGUCUUAUUUUGAACCAUCA